UUGCUUAUAUACGCCUGAAAAGUUUUCGACUUUCCGAUUUACCCCUCUUAGAAGGUUAAUAUUGAAAAUACCCUUUCUACGUUCCAACCUAUUUCUAAUAUACCCCUAGAGUUAAAAUCUGUUAAUUAACUCUGUUAUCUCUGUAAAAUUACUAUUUUGCCCUUUCAAAUAUACCCUUCUACCAUCAUUGACUUUCUUAUUUGCCCUUAAAAUUAGGGGCACAAAAAGUAUUUUUACUUUUGGUCUUUUUCAAUAUACCCCUCUACCGUCACCAACAUUUCUUAUUUACCCUUAAGUUAAGGGCAAAAUUGGCAUUUUAAUUUUUUUUAACUGUGGUAGAUAUUUAACUCAUGUUUAACCCAGGUUAACUUAACAGGAGAUAACUGCGGGGGCAUUUUGCAAUAACGGUGGAACAUAUGAGGGGUGUUUUAGAAAGAAAAAAAAAGUAUGGAUAAAUCGGAUAUUUUGAAACAUAUGAGGGGUAUAUAGGUAAUUAUCCCUAAAAAGUUUUAACAAUGUCUUCUCU
rnacentral:lncRNA from 1 species